rnacentral:sRNA from 1 species
UUCUUCUAAGUUUAAA